rnacentral:misc_RNA from 1 species
AAGUCGUAACAAGGUUUCCGUAGGUGAACCUGCGGAAGGAUCAUUAAUAAGUUGACCCGUUCAAGGACGGUGUUGGAUUCCCCGCGUUAGCAGUACAGGUAUCUCUAACCCGUUUUCGGAAUGGAGAGUCUUGCUGGACGUCGCGGUGACGGAUAGUGAUAUCCGUCUUUAGGAUGAAUACUUAUACCCGUGUUUACCUUUCUCUGUUGCUUUGGUGGGCCGCCUCACGGCGUCGGCUCCGGCUGAUCGUGCCCGCCAGAGGACCUAAACUCUUUUGUUACGGUAACGUCUGAGUACUACAUAAUAGUUAAAACUUUCAACAACGGAUCUCUUGGUUCUG